UGGGGAAUAUUGGACAAUGGGCGGAAGCCUGAUCCAGCAACGCCGCGUGAGGGAUGACGGCCUUCGGGUUGUAAACCUCUUUCAUCACCGACGAAGGCUUCCUUUUUGGGGGGUUGACGGUAGGUGGAGAAGAAGCACCGGCCAACUACGUGCCAGCAGCCGCGGUAAUACGUAGGGUGCGAGCGUUGUCCGGAAUUAUUGGGCGUAAAGGGCUCGUAGGCGGUUUGUCGCGUCGGGAGUGAAAACACUGGGCUUAACUCAGUGCUUGCUUCCGAUACGGGCAGACCAGAGGUAUUCAGGGGAGAACGGAAUUCCUGGUGUAGCGGUGAAAUGCGCAGAUAUCAGGAGGAACACCGGUGGCGAAGGCGGUUCUCUGGGAAUGUCCUGACGCUGAGGAGCGAAAGUGUGGGGAGCGAACAG
rnacentral:rRNA from 1 species